UCAUAUCAGAGAUUGCCACAGACACCCAGGGCAAUGUGAUUUGUCACUUAAAGAGGACGGCAGAUCAAGAGCAUCUCAUCCUCCGGCUGCUGAGUCAUCCUGCUCUGGCAGUUAUUUAAACAGAAGGCUCCAGGAGACAUACAAUCAACACUCCACUCAGACAAUGCCCAGACCUCCAGAAACCAUGUGUCAAGCUCGGAUUGCCUUAGACAGGUGCAAUUUAAGAACAGCUUUCAUCCUCUUUUCUCUCAUAUUGUCACACUAUGUGUUCUGACUUCUGGCUCCUUUCCUCACAAGAAGCUCACCCAGCUGGAACUCUUAUGGGACCUUGGCACCAGAGACCACAAAUUCCUCUUUGAAGUUUUCUAACAGCAACAAUGGUAUUUCUGACUUGGCUUUCUUGUAUUUCUCUCACGUUAACAAAAUUGGUUCAGCAUCUACCAUGGGCUACAUGCUGAGCUACAGAGUUUCGCUCUGUCGCCCAGGCUGGAGUGCAGUGGCGCGCGAUCUCGGUUCACUGCAAGCUCCACCUCCCGGGUUCACGCCAUUCUCCUGCCUCAGCCUCCUGAGUAGCUGGGACUACAGGCGCCCGCCACCACACCCAGGAAUCCAACUUGCUGUUUGCUAUCACAUGUGCUAUACAUGCUGUUGAUGAAACUGCUAAAGGGGCUGAAUGUGACUGACGUCUUUGGAAGGAUGAGACUUAGCGUGCCUGUACAGUUGUGUCCAAAUGCUGUCCUCAUCUCCCAAUGAAAAGGGUUUUUCCUUAAGCCUCACAACAAUUUACAGCAUUGCCAGCAGCAUUCAGUACAUUCAGAACAGGAUAAUUUCACCCGCAGCUGAACUAGGGCCAUGCCUGGGACAGACAGAGAAUGGCCUUCCAGCAGACAUGCCAAGAAGCAAGCCAGGGUCAGUGAGUGAAGAGGAGGGCAGGCCCAUUUGAAGCAACACAGUUUAUGUAAGUGUGAUCUAACUGCUUUCACUGGAAAUGGGUCAGACUCCAGUUGAGAGAACCAGGGGCCUGAAUGACCCCAGCAAAAUCACUGUGGCAAUUCUUUCAAUCACCUCUGAGAAUAUGGCCCUGUGACGACAUAAUGACGUUUGGAUUAAUUCCAGUCGGCUGUGUUUUCCCCUCCUUUCUUGCCUCCCCGUAGUUGAUUUGCCAAAUUUUUUUUGUUUGCUUAAAUACGCGGAACUAAACAGGAUACAUUAUAUGACAGUCUGUGAUAAAUUUACCACUGGGAAUAGGGAAAAAGUAUGGGAUAAAGAAAUAGGUAUUUUUCGCCUCUCACAGCUGUGAUUCAGUUCUGACUCAAAAGGAAGUGUGCCACCUACUGAAUCACAGAAACCACUUCCUGUGGCUGUUUGGUUUAUUCUGGAGGAGCAUCAGGCCAAGUGCUGCCCUGCCCUGACCCUGACUGGCUCUUCAGAGCCAAGGCAUUCACAGCUUGAGGUGGUUUGGCCUCAGACUCUUGAGAACAUUGCAUAUUAAAUUACAAGUGUUUCGUUUCCUAGCAAGGAGUCUUUAGCAACAUGAAAACGAACGUGUGUUAUUUGCAAACCAAGUAUAUCAUUACUGAACCUGAAUAUCCUUACUUUUUCAUAAGGUACGUAUUCCGGAUGACCACUCUUAAGAUCUGAAUGUACACUGGUUCUGUUUUUCCUGAGGGGAACUUGGGCAGUCUGCAGGGUGGCAUUUACCAGCUGAGGGACUUCAAGAGCACCCUUUAAUCAGUGUGGCAGCACUCAACUUGUAUUCACUCACUCAGAGUAUUUUUGAGCAUGUACUUAUUGCCAUGUGCUGUGCUAGGUAGGGGUAGAGGGUACAGUGGUGAACAAGACCCCACAGCUCCUGACCUCAUGGCUCAUGUGUUCUACACCAUAAGGGAAUCAAGCUGUGUCUCCCGGGGCAGGGGCCUUCCUCUGUUCACCAUGCAGCCCCAGCAUCUAGCACCUGGCGUUGCAUAAAGGAGGCUCUAAAUCAAGCUUGUCCAACCCAAGGCCCACGGGCCACAUGUGGCCCAGGAUGGCUUUGAAUGCAGCCAAACACAAAUUUGUAAACUUUCUUAAAACAUUAUAAGAUUUGUGUGUAUGUGUUUUAGUCCAUCAGCUAUUGUUAGUGUUCAUGUAUUUUAUGUGUGGCCCAAGACAAUUCUUCUAUGUGGCCCAAGGAAACCAAAGAUUGAACACUCCUGCUCUAAAUACUUGUUUGUUGAAUAGAUACAUGAAAAGAAAGAAGGAGAGAAGGAAGAAAGGAGGGCGGAAGGAAAGGAAGAAGGGAGAGAAGAAGAGAAGAAAGAAGCAGAGAAAGGAAGAGAAAAGAAAUUACGGCCAGUGCGGUGGCUCACGCCUGUAAUCCUAGCACUUUGGGAGGCCUAAGCGGGCUGAUCACCUGAGGUCAGGAGUUCGUAAGCCAGCCUGGCCAACAUGGUGAAACCCUAUCUCUACUAAAAAUACAAAAAUCAGCAGGGCAUGGUGGUGCGUGCCUGUAAUCCCAGCUACCUGGGAGGCUGAGGUAGGAGAAUCGCUGGAACCCGAGAGGCGGAGGCUGCAGUGAGUUGAGAUCAUGUCACUGCACUCCAGGCUGGGCAACAGAGUGAGACUCUGUCUCAGAAAAAAAAAAAAAGAAAGAAAGAAAGAAAGAAAGUUACCAUUAGUUUUUUGUUGUAUUUGCAAGCAAAGACAAAAGCACCAAGGUACUUGUUUCCUUCUGUAAUUAGAGUUUCAAAUAGACUAAAAGUUUCUGCUCUUAGGUGGGUCUAGAGACUCUCCAGUACCUCAGGACCUCAGGACACAUGGGGUCUCUUGGUUGUUUUCUUUUCAUUGUUGUUGUUUAUUUUAUUUUUGUUUUUAUUUUUUAACUUUAAAACAAUUUUUUGUAGAUGAAUAUGCUUACAUAUGUUUGGGGGUUUUUUUGAGACAGGGUCUUGCUCUGUUGCCCAGGCUGGAGAGCGGUGGUUUAACCACAGCUCACUGCAGCCUCGACCUCCCAAGGUAGGGACUGCAGGUGUGUACACUGGGGUGCACCACCACACCCAGCUAAUUUUUAAAUUUUUUUUUGUAGAUAUUGUCUCACUCUGUUGGCCAGACUGGUCUUGAAAUCCUGGGCUCGAGCAAUUCUCCUGCCUCGGCCUCGUAACGCGUUAGGAUUACAAGCGUGAACACCGCACCUGGCCAGCAUGUGGUCUCUUAACCAGAGGAGGCCUCUUCUGAACUAGGUAGAGGUCCUGAGAAUUGAUUCUGAGAGUAAAAGGCUCUUUGUUCUCCUCAGAGUAGAUUAGAAUCCCUAAUGAUAGAGCAUCUAUUAUUCCUCUAGUGGUCCAUGCCCAACAGAUUCAUCCAAGAAUAGAUGAAGAUCUUUGUAAUGUUGUGCAAGUAAUCUAAUCACCCCACAGAAGAGCUGUGACUUAAAUUAUCCCAGAGUCGGCCCACCUGUUUUCAUAAAGAUCAAUGUAACUUGUAAAUUUCUUCAGUUCUCCUCACCUAUCAUCAUUUGACUAACAAAACCCAGAAAACUAGGCUAGUUAUGGUGGCCUAUGCAUAUAAUCCCAACUCUUUGAGAGGCCAGGGUGGGUGGAUUGCUUGAGUCCAGGAAUUCGAGACCAGCCUGGGCAACAAAGGGAGACCCUGCCUAUAUCCCAGCUAUGCAGGAGGCGAGGCCAGAGGAUUGCCUGAGCCUCAGAGGUUGAGGCUGUAGUGAGCCAUGAUUGCCCCACUACACUCCAGCCUGGAUGACAGAGUGAGACCCUGCCUUAAAAAUAAUAAUAAUAGUAAUAAUAUUUCAUAAAGAUACAGGAAACUAGAUUAUAAUUGACAUUUUCAAAGUGAAAUACUGUCUAGAAUGGUGCUUGGCCAACAGUAAGCUUUUUGUAAGUGGAAGUCAUUACUACUACUAUUUCUUUCAUUAUUAUUACCAUUACUACUUUUUUUUACAAAAAAAAAACCCUGGACAACACACUGAAACCAUUACUACUUCUACUACUAUAACUUAGGUUGCACCUGAUAGAGCCAGCAAUUUUUCCAAGGUAUGACAAUGGCCAUAUGUUUAAUGAUAUAAUUCUAUGGCUCAGUGUAUCUCAGCCUUUUUAAACCCUGCUCUUCUUUUGACAAUUGUAAAAAUCUUAAACUGACCUCCAGUUGAAAUCCUCUGUCAAGAAGAUAUUGUCGGCCAGGGGCGGUGGCUCACACCUGUAAUCCCAGCACUUUUGGAGGCCGAGGUGGGAGGAUCACUUGAGGUUAGGAGUUCAAGACCAGCCUGGCCAACAUAGUGAAACCCCAUCUCUACUAAAAAUACAAAAAUUAGGCAGGCAUGGUGGUGUGUGCCUGUAAUCCCAGCUACUCAGGAGGCUGAGGUAGGAGAAUUGCUUGAACCUGGCAGGGCAGAGGUUGCAGCAAGCCGAGAUCACGCCACUGCUCUCCAGCCUGGGUGAGACUGUCUCAAAAAAAAAAAAAAAAAAGAAAGAAAGUAAGAAAAAGAAGAAAUCCCAAUCUCUUCUUUUAUGUGGAUUCUUCCUCACUUGAAUAAUACUUUUCUUCCCCAGUAUUCUCCAUAUUAUCCCAGAGUCAGCCCCUCUGUUUUUGUAAAGAUCUACGUAACCUCCUCUAAGUUUCCCAGUUCUCCUCACCUAUCAUAUCAUUUGGCUCAACAAAGGGCAGGAAGCUAGAUUCUAAUUGAUAUUUUGAGGCCGGGAGCAGUGGCUCAUGCCUGUAAUCACAGCACUUUGGGAGGCUGAGGCGGGCAGAUCACUGGAGGUCAGGAGUUCGAGACCAGCCUGGCCAAUAUGGUGAAACCUCGUCUCUACUAAAAAUACAAAAAAUUAGCCAGGCUUGGUGGCUUGUACCUGUAAUCCCAGCUACUCAGGAGGCUGAGGCAGGAGAAUAGCUUAAACCUGGGAGGAAGAGGUUGCAGUGAGCCGAGAUUGCUCAAUUGCACCCCAGCCUGGGUGACAGAGCAAAACUCCAUCUCAAAAACAAACAAACGAACAAACCUGAUAUUUUCAAAAUUGAGGCAAUUAUAACAGCUAUUUAGCCAAGCAUUAUGAUAGCAAUAAUAGCAAGAAAAUAAAUUAGUUAACAAAUGAGUCUCAGAAGCCCAAUGAUUUUUAUUUUAUUUUUAUUUUUUGAACUUUUAUUUUAGAAUCAGGGGAUACAUGUGCAGGUUUGUUACCCGGGUAUAUUGCAUGAUGCUGAGUUUUGGAGUAUGCAUGAAUCCAACCUGUCAUCCAGGUAGUGAGUAUAGUACCCAACAGAUAGUUUUUUUAACAUUUACUUCACUCCCUUCCCCAAUCUUGUAUUCCCCUGUGUCUACUGUUCCCAUUUUUAUGACUGUGCCAACAAUAAUUUUUUUUCUUUUUUCUUUAAAUAGAGAUGGGGGUCUCUAUUUAAAGAGCCUCCCAAAGUGCUAGGAUUACAGGUGUGAUCCAUUGCACCUGGCCCAUGCCAACAAUAUUUGAAACCCUUAUCUGCGUGUACAAGUUUGCUACUGGUUUUGUUUUGCUCAUUAAUACAUCCCAAGCAUCUAUACCUGGCUUGUAGUACCAGCAUGUAGUAGGUGCUUAAUAAAUAUUUAUUGAAUAAAUAAAUUAGUUUGACAUUAGUUUAACAUCUCAAGUAAAACAAAAUACCAUUCAAUUAAUUCUCUUCUUCUACUUUUUUCUUUUAAGAGAGACAAAUAGUCACACAUACAUCAGCAGGAGAGGAUACAAUUUCCUGUGUUUAAGUUUUUAUGAGUUACUUUAGUUCAAAUGUCACAGAAAAUUAUAUUGAACUCUUGACCAAUCUAUCUAUUUUUUCCAUUGGAGUAUUGACCCAAAUAAGAAAUAGCAUAAAGGAAAAAUUAUUUUUUGGCAGAAAAAUAUUCUCUCUAAAUUCUUGUGUGUUUUGUUUUGAUUUUUUCCUUAGUGACUGGAGGCCAGUUUCAAUCCACUGAAGCACAGAUUCCAAAUUUUCAAUCUGGUUUUCUUGAGUAGUGACUGAGUGCCAAAAAUGAAGCAAUGACACAACAUCACCAUCAAGACACUCCCCAGCACGCACACACAUGCCAGAGUCCAACACCAAGAUACUCCCCAGCACGCACACACACGCCAGAGUCCAGGCCAUAUUCGGGUGGCUUGCAAGCUUCUUCCCCCCAAGUAUUUACUCUCAAAAUAAUGGUUUUUGUUUUGUUUUGGUUUGGUUUGGUUUGUUUUUUUCCAAAUACAUUUCUUCCCUAUAUCUUUAACCAAUUCUCAUAAAAUUUUGUCUAAUACACUGGUCAGUGUAUUCCAGACCCUAAAAGAUAACAUAAUGAAACUAUCUAUGACUAAAAGGUAAUCAGGAUCUUCUACUUAUCCUUUUUUCCUCCCUCUUAAACUUUAAUUUUGAUACAUUUGGGAGUGAAAUGAUGACAAUAAAUGCAAAGUAAUUAUUGAAGAAACAGUAAUUUUGUAUUAGCUUACUGAAAAAAAAAAAAAAGAUAACCAAAUAUAUUUUGGCAGCCCCAAACGAGUCACAUGUGAAAUGCAGUGGGAGAGCAGUGUCCUGAAGGAAAAGGUGGCCUGCUGGACAGCCAAGAGAACAAACAUCCACUGCAAGUAAUAUGAGCUCUAAGUUUGGACUAGGCCUAUGUCUGCUCUGAGACUUGGGGCAAUUCACUUAAUCAGAGCCUUAAUCAGCUACGGACUAGCAAUAUCCAUACCCGCUACUUAUUUUGUAAAUCUCCUUUCUAAAGUUAACUCUAUUUAUUGUUCCAUAAUCCCAUAAAUUCUAGAAUCUUUUCCUGUUAUAGCCAAGUUGUCUAUCAUUGACAGAGAUAUUCACCUGGUUGUUUUGGCUUCUCUAAUCCUCCUGGUGAGAACACCUCCAAGGGAGCUUUCAGUGGCAUUUAAGGUCACUUGUGCUCUUGGUCCUAGAAACUGCCUUGAUAGUGGUUUUAGCUCACAUGAGGUAAGUCUUUAUUAUAUGCCCAACCUCUUUAUGCAUUACUUCAUUUAAUUGUAUACUAAUCCUUUGUCAUAGGUUAUCAGAGUGUUUGAUUAUAAGUUACAGGAAGAAAAAAAAAAACAAACUCCAAUUGACUAAAACAAUGGGGCAUUUUUUGACUCACAUAACAGAGAGUCUAGAGAGAAGGCACCUUCAGGUUUGGCUGAUGAAUCCUGUAUCUCUGCCUUGUCUCCAGGCCCCCAGGUUCUGCCUCUGUCCUGACAUCCAGUGUUGGAUUCCUCUUCACAUCAACUCCUCUCUGUAGGUUGGGCCAUCAGACCCUACCUCCUUAUUUAUGUUGAGCAAAGGAGAGAGAAUGCCUCUACAAACAAUGAAAAAAGUGAAAAAAAAAAUCUUUCUCCUCCUUAUAACUUUAGUUAGCUUAACUUUAGUCAGUUGCUUAGCUACUAAACAGUAGCUAUUGGGAGGUGGGAAGGAAUACUAUUGUGUAAUCAACUAAGGCUCAUACAGAGGAUUAGGGUUAUCUGAAUUGAUUUGAAUUAAUUAGAAUUUACUCUCAGAGCUGUGGCAAUUCCUUGAACCACACUGAUUGCUAUAAAGUGGAAGAGGAAUAGAUUGAAUUUUGGGGAGUCAACUACAAUGUGUACUACAGGUAAAUACUAUGAAUUUCCAAUUCACAGAUGAGAAAACUGAGGCAUGUGGUGGGAGGGAGGUUAUGUAAUUUGCCCAGUGUCACAGUUGAACCUAGGCAAAGGCCUAUCUCCAGGUCUAAACAAUUCAGUGGCCUCCUGUGUACAUUUCUGUCUCUCCUUUUUUAUCCACUGUGUCACCGAGGCUGGAUUGCAGUGGCUCGAUCAUGGAGAUCAUGGCUUUCUGUAGCCUUGAACUCCUGGGCUCAAGUGAUCCUCCUGCCUCAGCUUCCUGAGUGGCUGGGACUACAGGCUUGACAACACACCCGGCUAUCCCGUGUAUAUUUCUUGAGGGCUUAUGAUAUAUAAGAGAAACUCCAAAAUAAGAGGACGGUGUGCUAAGGGGAAGACCAAAGCACUAUCAAGAGGUAGAUUCAAUCGUACCCCUUCUAUUUACUAGUUGUGUGACUCUUUUGAAAAUGAGAAUAAUAGGCCAGGCUCGGUGGCUCCUGCCUGUAAUCCCAGCACUUUGGGAGGCUGAGGCAGGUAGAUCACCUGAGGUUAGAAGUUCAAGACCAGCCUAGCCAACAUGGCAAAACCCCAUCUCUAUUAAAAAUACAAAAAUUAGCCGGGAAUGGCAGCAUGUGCCUGUAGUUCCGGCUACUCAGGAGGCUGAGGCAGGAGAAUCACUUGAACCCAGGAGGCAGAGGUUGCAGUGAGCCGAGAUUGCGCUACUGCACUUCAGCCUGGGUGACAGCGAGACUCCAUCUCAAAAAAAAAAAAAAAGGAAGAAAAGAAAAGAAAAUGGGAAUAAUAAAACUUACUUACUGGAGCAGUAGCAAAGAUUAAAAUUUAGACCAUGCAGAAGAAUGUUUUUCAAAAUGACAUGACCUGGUAAUAGGAUAGAAAUGCAAAUUCCUGUUACUGCACCAGACCCACCAAAUAAGAAACUCUGGGGAUGGGACCCAGGACUAAGUACUUUAAUAAGCACUCCAGGUGAUUCUAAUGAUUGUUAAAGUUUGAGAACCACUGGUCUAACACAUUGCCUGGUACAUAAGCUCUUAUUUUGUUGUUAUUGUUCUAAGGACAAUGUGUGUAUUGACUUCUAUUUCCAGGAGUUCAUGACUUGGAGAACUAGGGAAAGGAAGACAAAAAUUCUUUAAUGCAGAACGAUACUGAUUGAUAAAUACCUGAAUAUAAUACAGGUUAAAUGUGCUUUGAAGAUUUAUAAAAGGUUGAAUUUAUUUCCAGCAAGAUGACUCUCAGAAGCCUUUAUAGAUUAGAGAAGAAAUGGAAAGGGGUAAAAAUAAUUAGGAACUAUAAAGCAGGGCAGACAAGUUUUCAAUGGUUACUGCCAAUGUGUAUACAGAAAGUUAGCUUGGCCAGGCAAAGUGGCUCAUGCUUGUAAUAUCAGCACUUUGGGAGGCCAAGGCGGGCAGGUCACCUGAGAUCAGGAGUUUGAGACCAGCCUGACCAACAUGGUGAAACUCUAUCUCUACUAAAAAUACACAAUUAGCCCAGCAUGGUAGAGCAUGCCUGUAAUCCCAGCUACUCAGGAGGCUGAGGCAGGAGAAUCGCUUGUACUUGGGAGGCAAAGGCUGCAGUGAGCUGAGAUCGUGCCAUUGCACUCCAUCCUGGGAAACAAGGGUGAAACUCCGUCUCCAGAAAAAAAAAAGUUACCUUGAAAUAUAUCAAUACAAACAAAUAAAUUAGAUAUUUCAUAUUGUACAGGAACAAAACCCAUCAGAAGAUGUCAGAAGAUAAGGAUUUUUGUCCUGAUGCUACACUUACCAGCUGUCCCUCAGUGUUCUACUUCUUAAAAAAAGAGAGGUUGGUCCUGAUCCCUGGUUCUUAACCAGGGGAAAAUGAAGUGGGGCCAGGGCAUGUGCAGACUUAAAAAUUACACAGGGGAAUGUAGGCACGAUCUGUUUAAGAAAUACUGGACUAAAUGGUCUCUAAUCUGUGAUUGUAGAUUAAAGAAUAAUCUACAAUCUACACCGUGUUGGCCAGGCACGGUGGCUCACACCUGUAAUUCCAGCACUUUGGGAGGCUGAGGUGUGUGGAUCACAUGAGGUCAGGAGUUCGAGACCAGCCUCACCAAUGUGGCAAAACCCCCUCUCUACUAAAAAUACGGAAAAUUAGCUGGGUGUGGUGGUGCAUGUCUGUAGUCCCAGCUACUCGGGAGGCUAAGGCAUGAGAAUUGCUUGAACCUGGGAGGUGGAGGUUGCAGUGAGCCAAAAUCACGCCACUGCACUCCAGCCUGGGUGACAGAGUGAGACUCUGUCUCAAAAAAAAAGAAAAAAUAAAUAAUCAAAUGUAAAGUUAGCACAUAAAGGAGGCAUGUACAUAUUAUUAAAAUCUAUAUGACUACCUCUCCUUUUUCAUUUUUGGCUCAAUAUCUGUAUCUGAACACCUAAUUAAUGAAAGGAAAACAUUUGUAAUAUGUAGCAACUAAAAUGUCACCUUCUCUGUGGGGAUCACAAAGUCCUUGGCAAUCACUUCCAUACCAGACAAGUGAGUAUUGUCCUUCUCCUUUUCCAGAUGGAUAAACAGAGGCAACCCGAGGAUAAAGGCCUUGCUCAGUGUCACACAUUUCAGUCACUAAAUAAGACACAAUGGAUGCCAGUAUUCUCAUCCCCUCACAAAUAAAGAGCCUUCAAGCUCUUGCAGUCAACAAGAACUUUUGGAAUGAUUUCACUGCCUGAAAAGGCAGAUACAUAGGUGACACCCACAAAUAGGAAGAAAAUCAACCUGAACCUGAGUGUGUGGGCUCACUGACUCUAAGCAGUAGAGACAGAAGAAAAAGUUUUAGCAAAGAAGGGUUCUGAAAGAAAAUAAAUAUAGCUCGUUAUCAAGUGCUGUUUUUACACAGUAAAACAUGGGCAAAAUUACUCUUCUUUAAGUAGUAAUUCUUAUCUCUUGAUUAAGUCACCUACUCAUUCAUUUAAUAAAUACAUACUGAUUGUUUUCUAUGUGUUGAGCACUCAUCUCUGUAUUGGAAAUAUAAUAAUGACCAAAGUUGACAAUAGUAAUAACAAUAAUAGCUAAUAUAGCAGGCACUAAUAAUUAUUUGUUGAGUAAUAUGUCAAAAUUCAGUGUGAACAGCAUUCUAUUUGGGGCUGCAUCCACUGACUAUAACACAGCUAAUCUAUCUGAAAUGUUCCAGCUUUGGGCCUCUCUAACAGAAGAAGCUGUUGUUGGGCCUGCCUCUAGUUGGCGAUGCAUCCACCAAUGAGAAUGAAUUUAUGAUCGACCACUCUUCCUGUAAAGGCCGCUGGAACUGACAGCAUUGUGAUUUUCUUUUACUGUUAGUUUUAAAUUACUAGAACCAACUCAAUUACUAGAACGAACUUUACUUCUUUGUUUCCUACUUAUCAAAACAGUAAAAACAACAAGUAAAAGAAAUGCCAUCUUAAUAUUGUUUUGAUGACAAAACAGUAUUCCUUUUAGUUGUGCUUCAAAUGGAAUAAGAUGCAAACAGGCUUGGUAUGGUGGCUCACCCCUGUAAUCCCAGCCCUUUGGGAGGCCAAGGUGGAAGGAUUGCUUGAGGCCAUGAGUUUGAGACCAGCCUGCGCAACAUAGCAAGACCGUGUCUCUACAAAAAAUAAAAAAUUAGCUGAGUGUAGUGGUGUGUGCUUGUGGUCCCAGCUACUUUUGAGGCUGAGGAGGGAGAAUCUCUUGAGCCCAGAAGGUCGAAGUUGCAGUGAGCCGUGAUCGUGCCAUUGCUCUCCAGCUUGGACAACAAAGCAAGACCCUAUGUCAAAAAAUAAAUAAAUAAAAGACAUAAACAUAUCUGAGAUUAACUUUCAGUGGUAAAUUUGUUCCAUAUAUGAUUUUUAAGGUUAAAUGCUUUGGAAGCUUUAAAAACCAUUUCAGCCCUUUUAAAUGCCAACUUACACUGAUGAUGCUCUCAGAUGUUAGGAAAUCUUUUGAGCAGAAAAUGGAAGUGGGGGUGUUGAGGCAGGGAGGAGAGUGAUGCAAUAUUCCUUAGUGUCAUCCUGUGAUUUCACAAUUUGUUUUUCAAUCUGUUUGGACUUUCAAAAGGGAAGACUCUCAUAUGUCAACAAGCCCAUGAACUGAAGCUUAAAACACUGGAAACAACAACUGUAGAGUUUCAAGUAUAUGUACAUUUAUGUAUUCAUGUUCCUUGAUGGGAAUGCUGGCUGGUGUGAAUGUUCAAUCUCCUGAGAAAUGUAAAUUUUUCUCUGACAGAUUUAUUAGCUUGCUGUAUCUGAGCACAUGAGCAAAAACAAUGCCUAAUAAGAAAACUUUCUCUCUCCUUCAAAGUCAAACUUGGGAGAAAUGAAGGGAAAUCGAGUUUUCUUUGCUUGACAGUGUUCAACAUUCUUGUAGUCAGUGUGCUCAUGAAGAUUGCAAACUUUUUUUUUUUUUUAGAGCAGCUAGGACUACAGGCGCGCACCACCACACCCAGCUAAUUUGUGUAUUUUUAGUAGAGAUGGGGUUUUAACUAUGUUGGCCAAGCUUGUCUCAAACUCCUGACCUCAAGUGAUCCAUUCGACAGCUCUUUCUUUUUUUUUUUUUUUUUUGAGACAAAGUCUCGCUCUGUCACCCAGGCUGGAGUGCAGUGGUAUGAUCUCAGCUCACUGCAACCUCCGCCUCCUGGGUUCAAGCAAUUCUCAUGCCUUAGCCUCCCGAAU
rnacentral:lncRNA from 1 species